rnacentral:rRNA from 1 species
CCUACGGGAGGCAGCAGUGGGGAAUAUUGGACAAUGGGCGAAAGCCUGAUCCAGCCAUGCCGCGUGUGUGAAGAAGGUCUUCGGAUUGUAAAGCACUUUAAGUUGGGAGGAAGGGCAGUAAGUUAAUACCUUGCUGUUUUGACGUUACCGGCAGAAUAAGCCCG